rnacentral:rRNA from 1 species
GAUGAACGCUGGCGGCGUGCUUAACACAUGCAAGUCGAACGGUGAACGAGGGAGCUUGCUCCCUCCGGAUCAGUGGCGAACGGGUGAGUAACACGUGAGCAAUCUGCCCCGAACUCUAGGAUAAGCGCUGGAAACGGCGUCUAAUACCGGAUACGACGCGCGAAGGCAUCUUCUGCGCGUGGAAAGAAUUUCGGUUCGGGAUGAGCUCGCGGCCUAUCAGCUAGUUGGUGAGGUAACGGCUCACCAAGGCGACGACGGGUAGCCGGCCUGAGAGGGUGACCGGCCACACUGGGACUGAGACACGGCCCAGACUCCUACGGGAGGCAGCAGUGGGGAAUAUUGCACAAUGGGCGCAAGCCUGACGCAGCAACGCCGCGUGAGGGACGACGGCCUUCGGGUUGUAAACCUCUUUUAGUAGGGAAGAAGCGAAAGUGACGGUACCUGCAGAAAAAGCACCGGCUAACUACGUGCCAGCCGCCGCCGUAACAC